rnacentral:sRNA from 1 species
AGCUGCCACUUUUCACCGUUAGAAGUAGAGCUUUUUCCAGACCUCCUACCUUUUAGUCUACUUUGAAAGGUGAAAGAAAGAACAGCGUUUCAGGAAUAAAAAUGCACAGUAGUAGUUAUAGUUACCGUAGCAGUGAUUCUGUGUUUAGUAACACUACCAGCACUCGAACCAGUCUUGAUUCAAAUGAAAAUCUUCUCUCGGUUCAUUGUGGUCCAACACUGAUCAACUCUUGCAUUAGCUUCGGCAGUGAAUCCUUUGAUGGACACAGGUUAGAAAUGUUGCAACAGAUUGCCAACCGAGUUCAGAGGGACAGUGUCAUCUGUGAAGACAAACUGAUUCUUGCUCGAAAUGCUCUUCAGUCUGUAAGUUAAUUUUAGGAGCCAUUGGGGUUGUGGUAGAGGAGUGACUGUGCGUUUGGAUGAACUAAAACUUUUGCAUAAUGUUUGGUUGAUUCUUGGUAAUACUCUCCACUGAAACUUAAAGUUUGUUAAAGAUUAUGAUUGGUGUUUGCUCUCUGAGAGACAAGAAGAGGGAAAACAUAUUUUUGAACCAACAAGGAAAACUAAAGAAAGCCCAAGUAGGCU